CCUAGCAUGGGGCUAGCAGCAGCCACUUUGAGUCGUGACACUGAUGAUAACAGCAAUGAUGAAGUCUCACAUUUAAAAUUUUCAAGUCACUCAUCACAUCCCCAGUCGCUCCCUUCAUUACCUUUUAUUUCUACUGGAGUCAUCCUGUGUGCCUCAGUCAGACCAUUUUGUAUGUACAAUGACCUACUAUGAAAUUUGACAUGCUGUUUGCAGAUCUUCCCUUCUCUGGAUCACCUGAAAAUAAGCCACAAACAAAGGAAUGAAAUUGUAGAAAGAAAGGGAAGAGGCAAGACUCCAUAUGAAGACUACCACUGACUCACCUGUUCGUGCAUGCCUCUCUGUGUGUUUUAUAUUGGUGCUGGUGAAGAUAGUUCUUUAUACUGAUGC